ACUUGUUCGAGUAUGGGUUGCAAUACAAGUAAGACUUGCAUGAUUCGAUUUUUCUGGCGAUGUAUCUGUGAAUCUCCAAAAUAUCUUUUGUUCUGCUUUUCGUUUAAAACAGCGAUCAUCAUUGGUAACAAUCGAACUGCAUGCAGAGGUUCGUCGAUAAUCAUCUUGUGCAAUAUAUUCGACAACUCACACGCUGGAUAAAUGAUUUGGAUAAGAGCGCCUAUACCACCGAACAACAAACGAACGAGCUUGUAGCUCGACUUUUUGGUCACGGCGUGGAACUGUACCAUGCAGCAAGCAAGAGAUUAUUGCUUCAUAAAAAUUUGAUAGAUAGUCCCCCUUAGCUUGUUGCAAUCCUUUGAGCAAAAUUAGACUUAGUCUGGGAAUUUUGUCUGAUUUUAGUAUAAUUUCACCGGUAUACUGGAAAAAGACCAUAUCUCAAUUAUUCCUGAUUGGACCAGAACCGCUAGUUGUAAAUUGACAACAUCCA
rnacentral:misc_RNA from 1 species